UCCAGACUCCUACGGGAGGCAGCAGUGGGGGAUAUUGCACAAUGGGGGGAACCCUGAUGCAGCGACGCCGCGUGGGUGAAGAAGCGCCUCGGCGCGUAAAGCCCUGUCAGCAGGGAAGAAAAUGACGGUACCUGAAGAAGAAGCCCCGGCUAACUACGUGCCAGCAGCCGCGGUAAUACGUAGGGGGCAAGCGUUAUCCGGAUUUACUGGGUGUAAAGGGAGCGUAGACGGCAUGGCAAGUCAGAUGUGAAAGCCUGGGGCUCAACCCCGGGACUGCAUUUGAAACUGUCAGGCUGGAGUGCAGGAGAGGUAAGUGGAAUUCCUAGUGUAGCGGUGAAAUGCGUAGAUAUUAGGAGGAACACCAGUGGCGAAGGCGGCUUACUGGACUGUAACUGACGUUGAGGCUCGAAGGCGUGGGGAGCAAACAGGAUUAGAUACCCUGGUA
rnacentral:rRNA from 1 species